UACGUAGGGGGCAAGCGUUGUCCGGAUUUAUUGGGCGUAAAGCGCUCGCAGGUGGUCCGAUGCGUCGUGCGUGAAAGACCCUGGCUCAACUGGGGAGUGUCGUGCGAUACGGUCGGACUGGAGGCCAGUAGGGGGGAUGCGGAAUUCCGGGUGUAGUGGUGGAAUGCGCAGAUAUCAGGAGGAAUACCCAUAGCGAAGGCAGCUGCGCUGGGACGGUACUGACGCUAAGGCGCGAAAGCGUGGGGAGCGAACAGG
rnacentral:rRNA from 1 species